AUUGAACGCUGGCGGCAGGCUUAACACAUGCAAGUCGAGCGGAGUGAUGGUGCUUGCACUAUCACUUAGCGGCGGACGGGUGAGUAAUGCUUAGGAAUCUGCCUAUUAGUGGGGGACAACAUCUCGAAAGGGAUGCUAAUACCGCAUACGUCCUACGGGAGAAGGCAGGGGAUCACUUGUGACCUUGCGCUAAUAGAUGAGCCUAAGUCGGAUUAGCUAGUUGGUGGGGUAAAGGCCUACCAAGGCGACGAUCUGUAGCGGGUCUGAGAGGAUGACCCGCCAAACUGGGACUGAGGCACGGCCCAGACUCCUACGGGAGGCAGCAGUGGGGAAUAUUGGACAAUGGGGGAACCCUGAUCCAGCCAUGCCGCGUGUGUGAAGAAGGCCUUAUGGUUGUAAAGCACUUUAAGCGAGGAGGAGGCUCUUUUGGUUAAUACCCAAGAUGAGUGGACGUUACUCGCAGAAUAAGCACCGGCUAACUCUGUGCCAGCAGCCGCAGUAA
rnacentral:rRNA from 1 species